UACGGAGGAUGCGAGCGUUAUCCGGAUUUAUUGGGUUUAAAGGGUGCGUAGGCGGACGCUUAAGUCAGCGGUAAAAUUACGGGGCUCAACCUCGUCGAGCCGUUGAAACUGGGUGCCUUGAGUGGGCGAGAAGUACGCGGAAUGCGUGGUGUAGCGGUGAAAUGCAUAGAUAUCACGCAGAACUCCGAUUGCGAAGGCAGCGUACCGGCGCCCAACUGACGCUGAAGCACGAAGGCGUGGGUAUCGAACAGG
rnacentral:rRNA from 1 species